GGCGAACGCUGGCGGCGUGCUUAACACAUGCAAGUCGAACGGAAAGGCCCUGCUUUUGUGGGGUGCUCGAGUGGCGAACGGGUGAGUAACACGUGAGUAACCUGCCCUUGACUUUGGGAUAACUUCAGGAAACUGGGGCUAAUACCGGAUAGGAGCUCCUGCUGCAUGGCGGGGGUUGGAAAGUUUCGGCGGUUGGGGAUGGACUCGCGGCUUAUCAGCUUGUUGGUGGGGUAGUGGCUUACCAAGGCUUUGACGGGUAGCCGGCCUGAGAGGGUGACCGGCCACAUUGGGACUGAGAUACGGCCCAGACUCCUACGGGAGGCAGCAGUGGGGAAUAUUGCACAAUGGGCGGAAGCCUGAUGCAGCAACGCCGCGUGCGGGAUGACGGCCUUCGGGUUGUAAACCGCUUUCGCCUGUGACGAAGCGUGAGUGACGGUAAUGGGUAAAGAAGCACCGGCUAACUACGUG
rnacentral:rRNA from 1 species